ACUUCAGCUCAAUUGUCUGCACGUACGUGCUUAUGCAUGUACGUAUGUAUAUUAGAAUCGAUGCAUUGGGUCAUUUAUCUAUCCAUCCGUUUCUCUCUCUGUAUCUAUAUAUGCAUCCACCUGUCUGUUUCUCUAUCCUGUCCAUCUGUCUUCCUAUCAUCUAUCCUUACAUUCAUCUAUCUAGACAUUCAUCUAUCUUUCUAUCAAUCGUUCUCUCUCUAUCUCGUUUUACUUCCAAGUUGUCUCUUUUGGUCUUUCUAUGUAGGUAUGUAUACAUAAGUUUAUUCAUAUAUAUAUAUACACACACACACACAUAUAUAUAGUAUGUAUAUAUAUAUGGGGCAGCUGGGUAGCUCAGUGCAUUGAGAGCCAGUCCUAGGUUCAAAUCUGGCCUCAGACACUUCCCAGCUGUGUGACCCUGGGCAAGUCACUUGACCCCCAUGGCCUAGCCCUUACCACUCUUCUGCCUUGGAGCCAAUACACAGUAUUGACUCCAAGACAGAAGGUAAGGGUUUAUACACACACACACAUAUAUAUAUACAUAUAUAUAUAUACACACCCAACUAUGUAUCUAUCCUUCCAUAUUUCUGUGUAUAUGUCAUUUCUAUUCAUUCAUCUAUGUCUGUUUCUGUAAAUUUGUUUUUCAAUAAUCUAUCCAUCUAUGUAUCUAUUAAUUUUUCUUUAUUUCUCUUUUUUCUACUAAUCUUUCUCUCCGAUUGACUCUUUCUAACUUUCAGACUGUUAGUUUGUUAAUGUACAUAUGUAUCUAUCUGUUCAUCGAACCAUCUAUUUAUCCAUUCAUAUCUUUGUGUAUCUAUCAAUCUAUGUACUUGUGUAUCUAUCUGUCUUUGUAAAUCUGUCUAUUUAUUUAUGCAUCUAUAUAUCUAUUUAUCCAUGUAUCUGUUUGUCUCUAUUUCUCCAUACAUGUAUCUAUCCAUCUCUCUAUCUCUCUCUCUCUCUUUCCACAUGUCUGUCUCUUUGUCUAACUUUCUGUCUGUGUAUCUAUCUAUAUCUAUCUCCAUCCAUCCAUCUAUAUGUCCAUCUAUUUGUGCAUCCAACUAGCUAAAGCUCCAUCUCUCUGUCUGUCCAUCUAUUUAUCUGUCUAUCUUUCUGCCUGUGUAUCUAUUUAUCUAUGUAUCUGUCUAUCCAUCCAUCUAUCUGUCUCAAUUUCUCUACAUAUGUAUUUAUGUAUCUAUACAUUUAUCCAUCCAUCUAGCUAUUGCUCUAUUUAUCCAUCCGUUUUCUCUAUCUAUCUAUUCACCUAUCUAUUUUCUUGAUAUCAAUCUCUCUAUUGUUCUUGGUGUCUGUCUCUAAUGUUCUGCUUGACUAGGGAUGUAUGCAGGAAUGUAUCCAUACGUCG
rnacentral:lncRNA from 1 species